GAUGAACGCUGGCGGCGUGCUUAACACAUGCAAGUCGAACGGAAAGGCUCCUGCUUGCAGGGGUACUCGAAUGGCGAACGGGUGAGUAACACGUGGGUGAUCUGCCCAGCACUUCGGGAUAAGCCUGGGAAACUGGGUCUAAUACCGGAUAGGACGAUGGUUUGGAUGCCAUUGUGGAAAGUUUUUUCGGUGUGGGAUGAGCUCGCGGCCUAUCAGCUUGUUGGUGGGGUAAUGGCCUACCAAGGCGUCGACGGGUAGCCGGCCUGAGAGGGUGUACGGCCACAUUGGGACUGAGAUACGGCCCAGACUCCUACGGGAGGCAGCAGUGGGGAAUAUUGCACAAUGGGCGCAAGCCUGAUGCAGCGACGCCGCGUGGGGGAUGACGGCCUUCGGGUUGUAAACUCCUUUCGCUAGGGACGAAGCGCAAGUGACGGUACCUGGAGAAGAAGCACCGGCUAACUACGUG
rnacentral:rRNA from 1 species